GCUACACAUGUCUUCAUCAGUAGAGCAUGAGACUUUUAAUCUCAAGAUUGUGGGUUUGAGCCCCAUGUUGGGCA